rnacentral:rRNA from 1 species
AACGAACGCUGGCGGCAUGCCUAACACAUGCAAGUCGAACGAGACCUUCGGGUCUAGUGGCGCACGGGUGCGUAACGCGUGGGAAUCUGCCCUUGGGUUCGGAAUAACAGCGAGAAAUUGCUGCUAAUACCGGAUGAUGACGUAAGUCCAAAGAUUUAUCGCCCAAGGAUGAGCCCGCGUAGGAUUAGCUAGUUGGUGAGGUAAAGGCUCACCAAGGCGACGAUCCUUAGCUGGUCUGAGAGGAUGAUCAGCCACACUGGGACUGAGACACGGCCCAGACUCCUACGGGAGGCAGCAGUGGGGAAUAUUGGACAAUGGGGCGAAAGCCUGAUCCAGCAAUGCCGGGUGAGUGAUGAAGGCCUUAGGGUUGUAAAGCUCUUUUACCCGGGAUGAUAAUGACAGUACCGGGAGAAUAAGCUCCGGCUAACUCCGUGCCAGCAG